CAUGUUCUCUCUCAAAAGAUGUUGUCUGCAACUCAAAACCACACACCCACCCCUCAAACAGCAUCUCCUACCUCUCAAAACACUAAACUUCCUAACCUCCUUCUCGAAAAUCCUACUGCAGAUACAUAAAAGCAUACAUCAAAUAUGAGCAUCAGCAUCUUCACAAAUCUAUAACUCACAAACCUCCUUCAAACACAUAGUCAAACACCCCUUGCUCUCUCUCACUGACAUCCGGCUACGGAUCGGUGGCUCCGGCGUCGAUUCCGACCGGUCAAACACGUAUCCACACUCCAUCAUCUCUACACUACCCCACCCCCCACUCGUUUUCAUCGGUCAAAAAGACACCACCACCCACGGGUGGUGAGCGGCGGCUGAGGAGAAAGAGAGAGCAAGAGAAGAGAGAGACACCGGCAGUGCGACGACGUGAAUAGAGACGGAAUGACGGUGCACGGCAGCGUGGAAUCUUUUCAGCAGUGACAAAAUUAGGAAGAAAGAGAGGGAACCGGAGAGAGGAGAGAACCGGCGGAGCCGAUGCCGUCUCAAACGAAGGUGGAGCCGUCCCGUUUCGACGUUUCCUCGACAUAACAUCGAUUUGGUUCGAGACUCGGUCAAGGCAAGACAGCGGACAAACUUUGGCUUGGGUCAGCCUGGACAGAUUCAUUCCAUUUCGACCCGGUUCACUCGCUCAAGACUUGGUUCGGUCCAGGUUUGGUUACGUUUCGAAUCUAGUAAAACAUAAUUCAGAUUUAACUCGGUUCUGACCCGUAUUUUCGAUUCAGGUUCGGGUCAACAUAAGUCAACGACAGUCAACUCAGUCGACUUGGUCAACAUCCGAGUCAAACUCGAUCAACAGUAGUCAAUCGCGGUCGAAACCAGACCCGGUAAAGUUUAGCGACGCGAAAUUAGUAUAGAUUGUUAUAGUUUCUAGAUUUUUAUACUACGCGAAUCGAGCUCGAUCGGUUAAAAGUUUAUACAUUAGUGAUUUAUUUACGAUUCUUGCAAAA